rnacentral:lncRNA from 1 species
CUGGGCAACAAGAGCGAAAGUCCGUCUCAAAAAAAAAAAACAAAAACAUAUAUAUAUAUACACACAAAAAAACUUAGCUGGGUAUAGUGGCAUGUGCUGUGGCUACUCUAGAGCUACUCUAGAGGCUGAGGUGGGAGGAUUACUUCAGCCCAGGAAGUUGAGGCUGCAGUGAGCCAUGAUCGCACCACUGCACUCCAGCCUGGAGAUAGAGCAAGACCCUGUAUCAAAAAAAUUUUGAAAAGAGAAAAGAAACAUUGCACUAUACAAAUGUUUGAGGUUAAUAAGGGGAUCUCUAAAUCUAAAAAAAAAUUAAUGAUAAUUUUAAAAUUUCUAAACUAAAAAGAAAUUAAAACACAUCACCCUAAUACCCAAAUUAAUUAACCUCUUUGCUGAAGUUUACAGAUGGACUUGCUUUGUCUCAAAGCAAAAUAUGAUAAAAUUCUAAUGAUUUAUAACAGAAAGGUUGAUCUCUUUGGGAAUUCCUUCUCUCUGGCUUGAUAUUGACAGCCAGUACAUGUAUAAUUAAAAUUCACCCUAAGGACAAAGCCACCAUGAGAAUGAGGUACCACCUCACACCCAUUAGAAUGGGUACUAUUGAAGAAAAAAAAAAAAACAGAAAAUGGUAAUGUGGGCUAAGUGUGGCGGCUCCCGCCUGUAAUCCCAGCAUUUUGGGAAUCCAAGGCAGUGGAUCACUUGAAGUCAGGAGUUCGAGACUAGCCUGGGCAACACGGUGAAACCCCAUCUCUUCUAAAAAUAC